rnacentral:tRNA from 1 species
GCAUUAGUAGCUCAGGCAGAGCGCCAACCUUGUAAGUUGGAGGCCGGAGGCGAAACCCCCCCCUAAUGUC